AGAGUUUGAUUCUGGCUCAGAACGAACGCUGGCGGCGUGGAUAAGACAUGCAAGUCGAACGGGACUCUGGUUGUAGCAAUACAAACGGGGUUCAGUGGCGCAAGGGUGCGUAACACGUGGGCAACCUGCCGGGAAAUGGGGGAUAGCUCGCCGAAAGGCGAAUUAAUACCGCAUGUGAUCAUCUCUCGCAUGAGAGAGACAUUAAAGCUGGGGAUCGUAAGACCUGGCGUUUCCCGAUGGGCCCGCGGCCUAUCAGCUAGUUGGCGGGGUAACGGCCCACCAAGGCUCUGACGGGUAGCUGGUCUGAGAUGACGACCAGCCACACUGGAACUGAGACACGGUCCAGACACCUACGGGUGGCAGCAGUCGAGAAUCUUUCACAAUGGGGGAAACCCUGAUGGAGCGACGCCGCGUGGAGGAUGAAGGUCUUCGGAUUGUAAACUCCUGUCAUGAGAGAACAAAGACUCACGGCGAACACCUGUGAGGACUGAUAGUAUUUCAAGAGGAAGAGACGGCUAACUCUGUGCCAGCAGCCGCGGUAAUACAGAGGUCUCGAGCGUUGUUCGGAUUCAUUGGGCGUAAAGGGUGCGUAGGCGGCGAGGUAAGUCGGAUGUGAAAUCCCGGGGCUCAACCCCGGAACUGCAUUCGAUACUGCCUCGCUUGAGGACUGGAGAGGAGACUGGAAUUCACGGUGUAGCAGUGAUAUGCGUAGAUAUCGUGAGGAAGACCGGUGGCGAAGGCGGGUCUCUGGACAGUUCCUGACGCUGAGGCACGAAGGCCAGGGGAGCAAACGGGAUUAGAUACCCCGGUAGUCCUGGCAGUAAACGGUGUACGUUUGGUGUGGGAGGAUUCGACCCCUUCCGUGCCGGAGCUAACGCGUUAAACGUACCGCCUGGGGAGUACGGUCGCAAGAUUAAAACUCAAAGAAAUUGACGGGGGCCCGCACAAGCGGUGGAGUAUGUGGCUUAAUUCGAUCCACGCGAAGAACCUUACCUGGUCUUGACAUGGUGGGAUUAACCCCGAGAAACCGGGGUGAUUAUCCGCAAGGAUGUAACCAUCACAGGUGCUGCAUGGCUGUCGUCAGCUCGUGUCGUGAGAUGUUGGGUUAAGUCCCGCAACGAGCGCAACCCCUGUGAGCUGUUGCUACCCUCUUCGGAGGAAGCACUCUGCUCAGACUGCCCUGUUUAACGGGGAGGAAGGUGGGGAUGACGUCAAGUCAGUAUGGCCCUUACGGCCAGGGCUGCACACGUACUACAAUGCCCAGUACAGAAUGAACCGAAACCGCGAGGUGGAGGAAAUCUCAAAAACUGGGCCCAG
rnacentral:rRNA from 1 species